GGGCUCGCUUCAGCAGGACAUAUACUAAAAUUGGAACGAUACAGAGAAGAUUAGCAUGGCCCCUGCACAAGGAUGACACACAAAUUCGUGAAGCGUUCCAUAUUUUU
rnacentral:snRNA from 1 species